GACGAACGCUGGCGGCGUGCCUAAUACAUGCAAGUCGAACGCUUCUUUCCUCCCGAGUGCUUGCACUCAAUUGGAAAGAGGAGUGGCGGACGGGUGAGUAACACGUGGGUGACCUACCCAUCAGAGGGGGAUAACACUUGGAAACAGGUGCUAAUACCGCAUAACAGUUUAUGCCGCAUGGCAUAAGAGUGAAAGGCGCUUUCGGGUGUCGCUGAUGGAUGGACCCGCGGUGCAUUAGCUAGUUGGUGAGGUAACGGCUCACCAAGGCCACGAUGCAUAGCCGACCUGAGAGGGUGAUCGGCCACACUGGGACUGAGACACGGCCCAGACUCCUACGGGAGGCAGCAGUAGGGAAUCUUCGGCAAUGGACGAAAGUCUGACCGAGCAACGCCGCGUGAGUGAAGAAGGUUUUCGGAUCGUAAAACUCUGUUGUUAGAGAAGAACAAGGACGUUAGUAACUGAACGUCCCCUGACGGUAUCUAACCAGAAAGCCACGGCUAACUACGUG
rnacentral:rRNA from 1 species